ensembl:lncRNA
CUGUCUGUAUCUAAUAGAGCAGAUGUAGUCUGAUGUGUGGAAGUCAGCUGUCUGUAUCUAAUAGAGCAGAUGUAGUCUGAUGUGUGGAAGUCAGCUGUCUGUAUCUAAUAGAGCAGAUGUAGUCUGAUGUGUGGAAGUCAGCUGUCUGUAUCUAAUAGAGCAGAUGUAGUCUGAGGUGUGGAAGUCAGCUGUCUGUAUCUAAUAGAGCAGAUGUAGUCUGAGGUGUGGAAGUCAGCCAUCUGGCAGGAGAGAGUCAUUGGGAGGGAGACGUUCUGACUGAAUGCACAUUCGAGAACUAGAACGUACAUUUACUUUGUGCUUUUUUAUUGACCAAUCACAAGUGGGGCGCCCUAAUGGGUGGGCCGCCACUGGUCCCCCAAAAGAAUUCAGCACCUGAACAGUGGCCAAAACUAUCUCUCUGUCUUACUACAGUAUGUGUAGCCUAUGUAUCUGAUGCUGUCUGGACAAAAAGAGUACGUCUUUUCAGAUAGAUGGUCUAAACAUUCUGUGACAGAGGAGCGUUGUUUCACUCGCUUGGACGCUUUAUCUAAAAUAGAUUUUCUGUUGGUGCGCGUCUUGGUCAAAUAAAUGAUACAUUUUGGACAGGCAAGGAGGUACGGUAGGGCGGCCCAGACCCCUAAGGCAAACCCAUAACGACGGCCCUGCCUUUUAUUGACACCUGUGGUGCAUAU